GAUGAACGCUAGCUACAGGCUUAACACAUGCAAGUCGAGGGGUAACGAGAGGAAAGCUUGCUUUCCUUGUCGACGACCGGCGCACGGGUGAGUAACGCGUAUCCAACCUGCCCCCAACUAGGGAAUAACCUUGCGAAAGUAAGACUAAUACCCUAUAAUUUCCUCAGAUGUCAUCUGACGAGGAAUAAAGAUUUAUCGGUUGUGGAUGGGGAUGCGUCUGAUUAGCUUGUUGGCGGGGUAACGGCCCACCAAGGCAACGAUCAGUAGGGGUUCUGAGAGGAAGGUCCCCCACAUUGGAACUGAGACACGGUCCAAACUCCUAAGGGAGGCAGCAGUGAGGAAUAUUGGUCAAUGGGCGGAAGCCUGAACCAGCCAAGUAGCGUGCAGGAUGACGGCCCUAUGGGUUGUAAACUGCUUAUAUACAGGAAUAAAGUUAGCCACGUGUGGUUAUUUGUAGGUACUGUAUGAAUAAGGACCGGCUAAUUCCGUGCCAGCAGCCGCGGUAA
rnacentral:rRNA from 1 species